CAGUCGCCGCGGUAAUACGUAGGGUGCAAGCGUUAAUCGGAAUUACUGGGCGUAAAGCGUGCGCAGGCGGUUAUAUAAGACAGAUGUGAAAUCCCCGGGCUCAACCUGGGAACUGCAUUUGUGACUGUAUAGCUAGAGUACGGCAGAGGGGGAUGGAAUUCCGCGUGUAGCAGUGAAAUGCGUAGAUAUGCGGAGGAACACCGAUGGCGAAGGCAAUCCCCUGGGCCUGUACUGACGCUCAUGCACGAAAGCGUGGGGAGCAAACAGGAUUAGAUACCCGGUAGUCCCUGUCUCUUAUACA
rnacentral:rRNA from 1 species